GCACAAGGGGCCACUGCGGGGAGACAACUGGGACACAACCGGGGACACAAUGGGGGUACAACUGGGACACAACCGGGGAGACAACGGGGGUACAACAGGACACAACUGGGACACAACUGGAGCUACAACGGGACACAACUAGGGGCCCCUGAGACACCCCUGCUGGACCCCAGGGACCCUGUGGGUAACAGGGACCAGACUGGGGACCCCACAGGUGAUAGUGGCCGGACACAACCGGACCCGGGCACCCCACUGGGGACAGCAGCCAGAGCAGCCCCACAGCCGGACCCUGGGGUGCCCCACAGGUGACAAACCCCACUGGUGACGGGGACGGUGGCUGGAGCAGCCCCAACAGGAUGUGGGAACCCCACUGGUGACAGGAACAGGUCGGGGAGGUCCCACAGCCGGACCCUGGGGACCCACCAGCAAUGGGGACAACAGCCGGAGYAGCCCCACAGCCAGACCCCAGGGACAUGGGGAUGGGGACCCCACCAGUGACAGGGGACUGUGGUGACAAGGACCCCACCGGUGGCAGUGGGAUGUGGUGACAGGGACCCCACCGGUGACAGCAGGAUGCRUUGAUGGGGAACCAUCGGCGACAGGGACGUGGUGACUCCAGGAGUGACAGGGACCUUAUUGAGGACCCCACCGGGGGUGUGGUGACCCCACAGGUGACAUGGUGAGGGGGAACCACCGGUGACAGGGGGACGUGGUACCACCACCAGUGGCAUGGUGACGGGGAUGCACUGGUGACAGGGGGACGCUGUGACACCAGCAGUGAUGAGGGGACACAGUGACAGGAACCUACUGGUGACAGGGGGGACGUGGUGACUCCAUGGGUGACGAGUGGACAUGGUGACAAGGACCCACCAGCAACGGGGGGGCACCGUGACACCACCGGUGACAGGGACCCACCAGUGAUGGGACCACGGGUGACAGGGACCCCUAAUUGCCCCAAACCCUCUUGCCCCCCAAUUAACCUCCUGCCCAAUUACCUUCCCUGCCCCUAAUUGCCCCAAAUCCUCCUGCCCCCUAAUUACUCUUUGCCCCAAUCACCCCAAACCCUCCUGCCCCCC
rnacentral:lncRNA from 1 species